GCAUCUGCAGCUACAAUAUCAUAAAAGCCUUGACUGUCUCUUAAGCAUACAUCCCGAAAAGGAUGGUGCUUUAUGACAUCACCUAUGGCCGUUGUCAAAGAUUGAUAGAAUUGAUUUAUGUCUUCACGGUUUGCAAGAUCUUUGCUAAGAAUAAUUUGUCUCCAUAUAACAAAGGCAAAUAUAGAAUAGGCAGGUGGAAAUACCAAACUAAGAGGGAGCAUUCGCUGCAUCCUUGAAAGAGCGACUAUAGAUGGUUCGCCCAGGAGUUCCACAAUUAAACCAUCAAAUAAAGUUCUGCAAUUCCCAAGAAGCAGCCUAAACAAAUGCACAUAAACUUCAAUCGAGUUAUCCACCUUAAAACCUGGAGUAGAACGCGUGUUUCCAUUUGAAUUGGAUUUUGUGCUCCUUAUAAAUUGAAUUACAUCUAACCCUUCCUUUAAUCUGAAGACAUUUACCAUUCUCUCCAAGCUUGUAACACCAUGAAUAACAGCCCCAACAACAAGAGCAGAGAUUGCAGCAGCAAUUUUUGUUACCCUUCCAGAUCUUGCAGAAUUGUUCAACAUAUCAUUGUUCACAUUGGAAUCUUCAGGAGACAGUUGAAACUGACUUCGAGAAGCCUUUCCUGGAGCAAAAGCUGUAGCAAGAGCAGAAAAGGCUUCUGUUGCAAGAGCUAUCUCAAAAACACGGCUCUGACGCUCUCCAAGGGCUUCCUUAAGCAGACAGAUGCAGCUUAUAUGGAUACGCAAAAUACGUCUAGCAAUACUUAAUGAAGCCAUA
rnacentral:misc_RNA from 1 species